rnacentral:rRNA from 1 species
UACGGGGGGGGCAAGCGUUGUUCGGAAUUACUGGGCGUAAAGGGCUCGUAGGCGGCCAACUAAGUCGGACGUGAAAUCCCCAGCUCAACCUGGGAACUGCGUCCGAUACUGGAUGGCUUGAAUUCGGGAGAGGGAUGCAGAAUUCCAGGUGUAGCGGUGAAAUGCGUAGAUAUCUGGAGGAACACCAAUGGCGAAGGCAGCACUCUGGGACGUGACGUGACGCUGAGACGCGAAAGCGUGGGGAUCAAACAGG